CGCACAAAUCCACACACUGUAGGUAUUCCCGAGUGUUAUAGCCUGAAUCAAAGGCUGCUGUCUGGCAGGCAAGGCUCAGAACACUGACAGCCUGACUAAAGAUUUUCACAAGCCGUCGCUGGUGGAAAUUCUUAAGACAUCUGAAAGAAGAGCUGAAGGGGAGCAGGCAGACACGUAUUCAACACAGAGACGGUGGAAGGAUUUCAUUUUGUGUGAGGUGUGUAGCUGGAAUCACUGUUACAAGAUACAAAACCCUGACUUGUAUGCUUGACUGUGUGGGCUCGGUAAUAACGUGGCUGCCAAUUAAAUGCAGCGAGUGUAAAUUGGAAUUCCCUCAAGGUAGGAUUACACCUAAAUGCUAUAUUUCCAUUAUGCUUCACACAUCCCUGUUAUUGAUUUGAUUUUUUUUGACUGGUGCUUUUAAUUAUCUCAUCUCUUUCCACACUCCUCUUCUGCUUUUGUGACUUGGCACCAGGCUGUUAUAUUAGCAGCAGCUGUUAAUCCCCGAGCACUCAACAUCUAAUAUGGCUCCAGGCCAAUUACUAAUAAUUUCUUUUCCUUAUUUUCUGAAAAUGCAGUUUAAUUUUGGUUUUUAAUUGGAUUGAAAGUCAUCCUCUCUUCAUUUGAGUAGGUAUGAAAAUUACACUUUCAGCUCUGGGUAAUGGUGGGAAUGCACAGAGCGUGAACUUAAAGCUCCUGUGUGGUCAGGAGGUGUCAGUUAAAUCAAUAAUCUGCACAUUUUAUGAACAACCAUCUUUUUUUUAUGUGGGUCUUAUAUCGAGUGAUGAAUUUAACAUUACAGAAAAAGCAGGAUGGGAACUAAUGGUUAUGAGUGCAUCUAAAGGGCGCUAGUUUGUCUUGUUUUUUCUGUUCAGGCUAAUAAAGGUCCAAGAAAAUAACCUUAAAAAAAAGGAAAUGCAACGAACAGUUGUGCCAGAACUGGAAUUAGUCAUAAUUUUAAGGGUAUAAAGCGAUCAAAUACAUAAAUUCAAGUCAACCAAAAAAAGCUGUGAAAUUAAACUAAAAAAUCAACAAGGAAAAAGUUAAAAAUUUAGAAGAAAUGAAAAUUAUGAAGUGAAACAGUCAUAAAUCAGCAAAAUUGCUGAACAUCUGUGUAAAAAAAAAAACCUGGAAACUGAAGAAAUCAAACUUGCAAAUCAACCUGAUUUGGUUGUAAAUUUACCAGAAAAAGUCCUAAUUCUACUACAGCGUAAUCUUUAAAAUGAACAAGAUUAAAGUUGUAAAUCUGUGACGGUAACUUGCGAAGUUAUGAGACUCAACUUGUGCAUUCACAUAAUCAAAGUUGUGCAUUUAUGGCAGUUGGGAUAUUAGGAUAUAAUUCUAUGUUUUCAAAUCUUUAAAUAGGAGUGUCCCAAUCCGACAUUGAUAUCAGAUAUCGGUCUGAUAUUAGCAAAAACCCAAAUAUUGGAUUAUAUCGGCUUGCAUCUAAAAUCUCCAAUAUCAGUGAUUGUGUGGCAGUUAUUUUUCGUAAAAGUACGAAAAAAAACAUUGCAUAUGAGUGCAAAACUUGUCAUGAACAAGUUUGUGCCAAUAUCGGAUCACUAUCGGUAUCGUCCAAUAACAAAGGCUGCAAUAUCAGUAUCAGGUCAUGAGUAAAAAAGUUGUAUCAGGAUACCCUUAUCUUUAGAUUUAUGAGAAUGAGGUCAGACUGCUUCUCUUAUGGGUUUAGGAGUGUGCUUUGUCCAGAGGGGGCGCCAAAAUCAACACAAAAGGAUCGUUCCUCCAAGAAGUUUCAAACCUGUUUCUAAAAGUGCAUUCACAAAGGUGGAAAAUUACCAACAAUACCAACAAUAACAGCACUUUUAAGCAUAAAUCUCAUUGUUAAAUUCAUUUGGAAAAAUCGUAAAUUAACGUAAAACACAGCUCUCUCAAUUCUGGACUGUUUUAACCAGAACUAUUACAGCUGAGGUUGGACAUUUUCCUACUAAGCGCCCAAAAUGAAUCACAUUAACAGGGACUCUCAGUCUGUACACACUCCCUUCCUUCUGUCAGAUGAAUGCAUGUAACUUCGUAGGUGGCAAAGUUGAGCGCUGAUGUUUGAAAGGUCAGCUCACAGUAAUUACUGACUGACGCUCCAGUUUAACCACUUCAUUAUUCAUCGCUACCUUGACACCUGUGGUCGAGUUCUUUCUUUUGUUAACACUUGUCUGGUAUUAAAUGACUCUGAUAAAUAACUUAAAUGCAAAACCUUCACCUCCUAUACUGGCCUGCAGAGGCUGCGAAUGAAUGCUUCUCAUUACAGGACGACGAAAACACGGGAGCAGCUUCGGCUCUUUAAAUACCUCGAAUGUAAUUAGCAAUAGAAAAGUUAUUCAGCCAACCAUAGACAAUCUGGCAGCACUUGGACGCGUCUAUGCCGGAGCAGAUGAGGUGGCAUAGAUAGAGGUAAAUGGCUGCCAAUGAAAAGCUGUAGGAAGUAGAAAGAGAGGGAAGGUUUUGCUUUUUAAAUCCCUCUAUUGACGUGACAGCAGGGGGGUAUUUGAGCACAUUUAAUGUUUGAGAUCCUGACAAAGGUGGUAUUUCUAAGCACGCUUAUAAUGCUCCUCUGGUAAUUUACCGCGGAGCUGCAAGAAUGUGGAGAAAUUGGGGGGAUAAGACAAGAUCACUGCCUGGAAAGAGAGAAAGAAAAGCAGACAGGAUGAAGAUAAAUUAGAGAAGUUCUCAGACCCUGAAAAGGAAACCUGUCAAAAAAUGAAAAUGUCAUUAAUGCCGCAAGAGAAAGGCACAGUACUCGGGUUUCGUACUUUUAAAUUGGUCGUUUAAAAUCACAGAAAGUGAGGAAGUCGAUUUUUUUCCCCCAGCUGGUGAGUGGAUUUAAAAAAGCUACAGGAUACCUGCAACCUUUCCCAGACUACGACGAACAUCUAAUUUGACCACCGCCCUGUCGCAGAGUGACACACUUACCCAGGACUGGGUUCGCCAUCGGACACCGUGCAUAGACUGCUCCAUAUUCCCAGACUUCCAUUGAUUUUCUUCCUCUAAUAUGCCAUUUGGUUGCACGGGAUACAGUUAUGUGAUCCAGCCCCGCUCAGUGUCAGUGUUGACUGCUGUUUCUAAUAAUGGCCCGGGGUCAAAGGACUGAUAAUAUUGAUAAUCAAAGCGGGGACUGUGUCAGUGUGUCACUUUCAGCUCUAGAGGAAAAACCUCGAAAUGAAGUUCAGACCGAAGAGCCUGUAGGACAGUUUGAGGAACUGAUCGUGAAGCUCAAAUCUUGACUCGAUAGUAAUCCGAUAGAGGAAACGGGGGUAAGGUGAUACUGAUACGGAGAUGGGGAUAUUACUGGAUGUCGACGGAUAUUGUAGGUUUGUCACACAUGCAGCCAAGAACACAGACACGGCAUUAGCGAUUCAUUCUCCGCUCAAACUGGCUUGAAAUUUCUCUGAUUCUCCAUUAUUGAACUUAAUUAUAUUUUACAAGGGAUGAAAUCCUCUGUUAACCGCCGUCUUUGCAUAUAAAGGCAAAAUAUUGAGACUUCUCAAUCCCCCCGCCGUGUGUACUCGCCUCUCCGCGCGUGGCUUGAUCUAAUAUUUGAAGUUAUUACAAAUUAAUUUCAGAUACUUUAGAGCGGAGGAGGCUCCUCGCUCCGGACAAAAUUGGAAAUUUUACAUUAUUUUUCACCGCUCAAAGGACAGUCUGGUGUGGGAGACGGCGGAGGCUUACAGGGGGGAUGAUGAGGAAAACAAGUUCAAAGUGAGGAUGACCACCGAGACGGGGACCGCAGAGAGAAACACGAUGGAAAAACAGGAUGAAGGGAAUAAAGCAGAGAUUGAUGUGAUGCAGACACGGCUCUCGAAGUACAGUGUCUGCAAUUUUCAGACCAAACUGAGAAACACUGAGGAAAAAGUCAGGGAUAAAUUAUGCACAACCCGGUUAUUGAAGGACCUAGAUUUGUCUCCGCAAAAAUGCAGGAUCGUCAGAAUAAGUUUCAGUGGAGCUUUCAUGUAAAACAGAGUUUUUUAAAGGUCUGACAGUCCGGGUCUCCCCUGGGAAAUGUGAGAUAGGAGGGAAAAACAAACCCAGCUUUGGAGUUUAAAACGAGAGAACGACAGGUGAGUGUGAGAGAUAGACACAGUUCAUCGAAAUUUACUCUUUGUCUUUUUAAGAGUCAGGGAAUAGUUGAUUUCAGCCACAUUGACCUAAAAAUUACAGGAGGACAAUGGCUCCAUUCAAAACACUACAUUUCACAGCAAAAUAUGACGUGGAUUGGUUGUCAUGACUUGAACAUUAUCUGCAAAUGGAGAAUAAAAACAUGAUUUUGUCAGUUUCUUAAAAGAAGAUAUAUUCUCAUUCAAAGAAACUAAAGUUUAGUUUCAGGAAACAGAUUUUUCAGUUUUUGUUUUCAGUGUGCUACAUCUAAAAAUGAGAUAUUUCUCCUGAUUUGUUCAGUAAAUGUGGUUUAAUUUAGGCCUAAUAAGACGGUUUAACUAGAAUCAUACAAAAACAUUUGCAUAGAUUUGAGUUCUUUCUAUUAUUAUAACUUUAUUAACAGUUUCUCCCUAAACUAGCUGUGUGAUCACAGACAAACAGUUACUAAUAUUAGGUAUCAGCGCACACUCCCCAUAAUAACUCUGUACAAUGUUGAUCAGGACUGCACACAACAUGCUCACUUGCACUUCCUUCCUAAUUUUCUACCAUAAUAACUAUUGUUCUAGUUUACACUCAACAGUUUUUCUCAUUCAUGAAACACUAAAAUCUGGGACGUUUUGUCACCUUACCCUAAACUAUAGUGUCAGCGAUACCAUUAAUUCUGUUCCAAAUGAAUGGGAGUUAAUGCUAAUGAACAAGGUCCCCAUAAUCCAGGUCCAGAACAGACGUUAAUCCAAAUACAUUAUUCUUUGAAAUCAACACAUCUACGAAGGUGGUCCGUUCUUGCUCAAGUUGUUUUAGAUCCAUCUUACCUUGUAAGACCAGGGUUUUAGGGAUGGGGACAGACGGGCAUUUUGUGAUCUACUUCAAUUGGCUCAUCGAAAGCCGACCCUUAACCGGCAAUUUCCACCACAUCUGGAAUGGCUACGAAAAGGCCGUAUCCGCCAAUCCCAGCUGAUCGUAACCAUUCAAGUUUAUGUGUCAAUUUCCACAGGCUUCUUUCCAGACUCCGCAACUGAUCGGAACGUAUUUCACGCUAUGCAAACAGGCGGGGAGGAACAAGUGAAAGGUUUUUAGACAGCAUUUCAUCCUGAUAACACCUUUGAUGAGGACAUGCUGAUUUUAUAAGUCCAGAAGUAGAUUUCCUCCUCUGGAAGGACACAAUCUACUGCUUCUAUGGUUAGCCUAUGUGGCUAAAGACAACUUGUUAUUGCAAGAUUUUACGUGAAUCCGCGGGUUCUUGUGAGUUCUCGCGAUUCCUGCUGUCCGUAAUCUGCCACGAAAUUCGCCUCACAAACGGACCCCGUAGGAAUUGGUGUAUGGGGAAAAUCGCAGCUGUUCUGAAUGCGGUGGAUAUCCCGGGUUAGGCUCCCCUAAUACCUCCUUACAGUCUCGGUUGUGUUUCUGAUAUGGUGUGACGAGCAUCAUUUCUUUGGUUUCUAAGUGUAACUUAGUGUUUAAUUCCUCUAACCAUUGACGUCAUACCCUGGAGGUGGUUAAUGUACUGUGAUUGUAUCCAAAUUUGACUGACUUACGACUUUUAAAAGUUCCAAUUUUGACCCAAAUAUCUAUUCCACCUCCUACACAUCUCUGCUGUGUCAUGCCUGUCCCUCUAGGCUCUCAGCUCCCUCAAAGCCCCCCUGGGAAAGGGGUGCCUCAAGGUUAAAAGUCUCUCAAUCAUGUACUGAUCUUUACCCAAACAGGAGCUUAGUAGAGCGCUAGCAGGCACACACAGUUGUUUGGAACAAAACCUCAUGAAUCUUAAUCUCAAGUAUUGAGAAUUUAGCAUGUAAAAAAUUGUAUAAGGACCGUAUAAAGAAACACACCUGGAGGUAUUCUUUGUCCCAAGAGUUUAAGACAAGACAACCGGAGAACGAGGCGCCGACGCUGAUCACCGCUCAGAAAACACAAGCCUCUCCUGACUCCCAGUCAAUUCUCACUGUUUAUUCUUCAGUGACGCGACCUUUCCCUGCCCUCUGCCCCCCGAAGGCAUCCAUGUUGACACCAGUUUGACAGCUCUUCACUGACAUACUCUGACCUCGGGGCGCAGUUAAUCACUAAUAAUCCCAACAUUGCUGAAGGCCUGACAUUGAUUCUCAUUCAAUAUUCGAGCACAGCGUACAUCUGACAAGUGACCCUCUACGGACCAGGUUACACCGUAUUCACUGAACCGGGAAUUUCAUGAAUUGUGAAUCCAGGCAUUGGGUUUCUUUACUGUGAGUGCCACUUCAGCCUGACAGCUACACUCUCCCAGUCUCAGAUGGAUACCAUAGGCUGGAUAAAGAGCUUUAAGAGUCGAAAGAGAUCGUGAUGACAGGUGGCUUCAAGACGGAGUGGGAGUGAGUGUGUAAUACACCUCAAACCGGAGUCUUUCACUUACAGAAAACAUAGUUUUAAGACCAGAACCCAGAACUGCAUUUGCGUCACAUAAGCAGGGAAAAAAAGAGAGUUCUGGGAUGUACGCUAGUGUAUCUAAUUGACAAUUUUCUCACUCUCUCUAUGAUAGAAAUUGACUGAUAAUGCCAUCAUGACAUCCAAGCAUCAAUUAUCUACCAUUCAACAUGCACUGCAUACUGACUGCACACAAACCCGGCUACAGUCUAGGGGAGGGAUAUCUGAUCCAGACAUGUUUUUUUUUGCGUGUGGUUAAGGUUUCUAUGUUUGUAAAAUGAGAAUGUAAAGGUGUGAAACCAGACGGAGACGUCUUUAUGUCAGGACACUUUUACUGUUCUUUUCAGUGUCUGGAUUUGGGACUUGAAUAAAAGCAAUGAUUUGAACUUGAUGUAACAAGAUGAAGCUAUAAAACAAUAAUUUAAAAGAGGAGAUUAGCUUCAAAGUAUUUACUCUGUCCAAACUGGUGGUUUUUAUCGAGGGUAACGCUGUUGGGAAAUGUGCGGGACUGAAUACAAAAAGCAGUUCUAUGUGCACUAUGCUGGUUUUUGUGAUGCGGUUGCGCCUGCGUGCUUAGUUUGAAGGUCGUAGCUGCAAACUUGGAGUACUUCAGUUAUAUUUCAACUCCCUUUGACACACACUGAACAGUACUUGUUGUUAGGGUGACCAUACGUCCUCUUUGACCUGGACAAGUCCUCUUUUUUAGGGGUCGUCUGGAUUUGACCGUCUUUGUUCGGGGAAGUUUAUAAAAUCCCUCAAAUGUCCAGGGAUUUGUACGUAAGUUUCGAGUCUGUGUCAUGUGGACUUACUGAGUUAGAAGUGUGUAAGAGACACUCAAUCCAACCCGAAAAACUCUCAAAAUUAACUUCUCGCAACUCUGUGACUCCGCCCCCGCGUAGUCAUGUCCUUUUUUCAGGAAGUCUGAAUAUGGUCACCCUACUUUUUAUGAGUUUCUGAAAGUUAAAUAUACUGUUCAAAAGCCUGAGUUUAUCCCUAUGAUUGACUUGUUGUAGAGUGGGAGAAAUCUGAUUAUUGGACCAGCUGUAGAAGACCGCCGCAGUAGUGAUCACAUAACCCACUUCACAACACCUUAAUGGACCAAAGGGCCAACGGUGGUGGACGGCUUCUCUCUCUUCGCUGCAGGACAGAGAGAUUCAGAAGAUCUUUUGUACCCACAGCCAUCAGACUUUACAACUCUUCUGUAAAUGGAAGAU